rnacentral:rRNA from 1 species
UACGGAGGGUGCAAGCGUUAAUCGGAAUUACUGGGCGUAAAGCGCGUGUAGGCGGUCUUGUAAGUCGGAUGUGAAAGCCCCGGGCUCAACCUGGGAACUGCAUUCGAUACUGCAGGACUAGAGUAUGGAAGAGGGAAGCGGAAUUCCGGGUGUAGCGGUGAAAUGCGUAGAUAUCCGGAGGAACACCAGUGGCGAAGGCGGCUUCCUGGUCCAAUACUGACGCUGAGACGCGAAAGCGUGGGGAGCAAACAGG